CGACGGGUGGUUGCAGUGGGGAAGAGUGCACAAGGGGGGGAACCCGGAGGCAGUGACGACGUGUGGGUGAAGGAGUAUUUCGGUAUGUAAAGCCCUAUCAGCAGGGAAGAACAAUGACGGUACCUGACUAAGAAGCACCGGCUAAAUACGUGCCAGCAGCCGCGGUAAUACGUAUGGUGCAAGCGUUAUCCGGAUUUACUGGGUGUAAAGGGAGCGCAGGCGGCGCGUUAAGCCUGGUGUGAAAGCCCGCGGCCCAACCGCGGGAGGGAAUUGGGAACUGGUGCGCGGGAGUGCCGGAGGGGUAGGGGGAAGGCAGGGGGGAGCGGUGAAAUGAGGAGAUAUUAGGAGGAACACCAGUGGAGAAGGUGGCCUACUGGACGGU
rnacentral:rRNA from 1 species